AGGAAAUGUUAUUUAGUAGAGCCAGUGAGCUCUACUUUUGAGCAUGAGCUAGGAUGAGUGGGGCUUCAUACAGAAAAUGAGAUGAACCAGAGAAGAUGGGAAGGCUGUGUGGAAAAGUGAGAUACCUGGAAUUUUAAGCAGAGGUCAUAUCACAGAUAAUUCCAAAUAAUGGAAUAACCACUUUAACUUCAAAAUACCCCUGAAGCAAUGCUUUUAAGAAAUUAGAAGUUCCUUUUGGUCAUCAUGGAGAUAGUUUUAAGGACAGAACUAAAUCUGGCAUUUAAAUUUAAUUCUUAGGACAAAUCGCUUGGCAAUCUUAGGAAAAAGAGACAGAGUGUGAGCAGGGGAGGGGUACAGAGAAAGAGGGAGACACAGAAUCUGAAGCAGGCUCCAGGCUCUGAGCUGUCAGUACAGAGCCUGACAUGGGGCUUGAACUUGUGAAUUGCCAGAUCAUGACCUGAGCCGAAACUGGACGCUUAACCAACUGAGCCACGCAGGUGCUACUAGAGCUUUAUUUUUGAUUAAACUGUUUCAAAAUUUAAUUUUCCUUAAGAAUGAUGAAUACAAUUCAACAUGA